rnacentral:rRNA from 1 species
GACGUAGGGCGCGAGCGUUGUCCGGAUUUAUUGGGCGUAAAGAGCUCGUAGGCGGCUUGUCGCGUCGUCCGUGAAAGUCCGGGGCUCAACUCCGGAUCUGCGGUGGGUACGGGCAGACUAGAGUGAUGUAGGGGAGACUGGAAUUCCUGGUGUAGCGGUGAAAUGCGCAGAUAUCAGGAGGAACACCGGUGGCGAAGGCGGCAUCCUGGACCGAUACUGACGCUGAGGAGCGAAAGCCAGGGGAGCAAACGGG